GGACCCGCACAAGCGGUGGAACAUGUGGUUUAAUUCGAUGCAACGCGAAGAACCUUACCUGGACUUGACAUGUUAGUGAAAUCUCUGUGAAAGCAGAGCCUUCUGCGAGCUUGCUCAAAGACACUAUCACAGGUGAUGCAUGGCUGUCGUCAGCUCGUGUCGUGAGAUGUUGGGUUAAGUCCCGCAACGAGCGCAACCCCCUGUUCUUAGUUGCCAGCACAUAAUGGUGGGGACUCUAAGAAGACUGCCUGGGAUAACCAGGAGGAAGGUGGGGAUGAUGUCAAGUCAGUAUGUCCCUUAUGUCCAGGGCUACACACGUGUUACAAUGGCUAGUACAAUGGGUCGCGAUCCCGCGAGGGCAAGCUAAUCCCAAAAACUAGCCCCAGUUUAGAUUGGAGUCUGCAACUCGACUCCAUGAAGCAGGAAUC
rnacentral:rRNA from 1 species